CAGAAGUGCGAAUGCUGACAUGAGUAACGACAAUGCGAGUGAAAAACUCGCACGCCGAAAGACCAAGGUUUCCUGCGCAACGUUAAUCGACGCAGGGUUAGUCGGUCCCUAAGGCGAGGCUGAAAAGCGUAGUCGAUGGAAAACAGGUUAAUAUUCCUGUACUUCCAGUUAUUGCGAUGGAGGGACGGAGAAGGUUAGGCCAGCCUGGCGUUGGUUGUCCA
rnacentral:rRNA from 1 species